rnacentral:rRNA from 1 species
CUACGUAGGUGGCGAGCGUUGUUCGGAUUUAUUGGGCGUAAAGGGUCUUUAGGAGGUUCGUUAAAUGCGGGGUGAAAUCCGGGGGCUCAACUCCCGAACUGCCCUGUAGACUGAUGGACUAGGGUACUGGAGAGGUAAGCGGAAUACCAAGUGUAGCGGUGGAAUGGGUAGAUAUUAGGUAGAACACCGAGAGCGUAGGCAGCUUCCGGGACUUUAACCGAUUCGGAAGGACGAAAGCGUGGGGAGCAAACAGGAUUAGAUACCCUGGUAGUCCACGCCGUAAACGUUGUCAACUUGAUGUGGGCGGAUUUGAACCCGUCCGUAUCGAAGCUAACGCGAUAAGUUGACCGCCUGGGGACUACGGCCGCAAGGCUAAAACUCAAAUGAAUUGACGGGG